GUGGGUACGUAACCGCUGAGGGGUACGGACUAGAGUAUUGAUGGAGCUGAUGGAAGGAAGCUGACUGAAAGCAAAUGAUGUUGGGCUCCAUUUUUGAAGGAUUAAGUGCUUAAUCUGAGAAGCAAGGGGAAAAGAAUUCUUUAACAGGCUUGAAUUUAGAAGGGAGGAAGGAAAGAUGUAAGAAUUCCUCGUCCUGAAGAAAGGUAACUAUGUGUCCCAUUGUCCCACUGAAGCCGUCGUCCCUGGACAGGAAGCCCUGAGAAAACGCAUCACACUAGCCUGUCCCAGGCGUUCUUCUCGCCCAGAGCCGGGCCACUCUCUUCCUCCUGCACCAGUGCGUUCAGAGCCGCAAACCAAAACUGGAGGCUCUGGGCGGCCUCCCACCUCUGGAAGGGCCCAGUCAGGAAGGUAACAAUAAGCCAGUGUUUCGCUCAGGAGACAAAAGGCCCUUUGAUAGGAACCUGGCCUUGACAGACUCUUCCUGUCUUCCAAUAAGCUUGGAUUCCAUUCGGGGAAAGCAGGAGCAGGAAGCAGGGUUAGUGGGGAACACUUUGUCCUUUCAGAUGUGUGGCUGUAGUGUGGGGUGCAGUUUGGACCCUGGCCUGGCUAUCAAGCUUCUGUCGAUCCCCUCUGAUAAGGCCCUCCUCACACCCAGGAAUUGUGUACCUCGCUCUAAAGAGAUGGGACCAGGGCCAGCUAACCAUAUGGAGAGACAAAAAGGACUUGCAUCCACACUGGGUGUCCCAAAGCACAGUGCUGGGAUCAAGUCCUGACCUCAGGUUAGAUACCUUGAGCCUGCGUUUCCAGAGGCCCAUCUUCCUCUGUGAAGUGCCAGGUCCUGGAUGAGUCUCAGUUGUUUCAGCCGAUCACCUUUCCUCCAGGGCUUAGAGAAAACUAAGCAGAUGAUGUGGGCUCUGCAGCAAAUGGAGAUUCUUCUUGGGAUAAUAGAAGACGCUCUCCAGGACUGGAUCAUCUUAUGACAAGGAGAGCAUUGUGGAAGAAAAUCCACGAGAGCGAGCGCCGUUAGCAUAAACCUUUAUUCCUUUGGAAUCUGGGGAAGGAGAGUGAAAGGUCUUAGAGGGCAUUAGCAGGAGGGGGCAGCAGAAGUUCAGCUAGCUUCGGGAAUAGUGAGUCAAGAAUGGUUCUCAGGUUAACAGCCAUUGUCUGGGCCAUGUGGAUUUUGUCCAGAGGCGUAGAGAGAAACAGUUA
rnacentral:lncRNA from 1 species